AUGCCAUCUUCACUGUUCUGUAGAGAACGGCACAGAUGUUACCCUGUCCUUGUUUCUUGGGAAUAAAAUGUUUGUGUACAUCACCGACCCCUCUACCCCACUUACGUUGUCUGUGAUUGUGGAAAAGAGAGGCAUCUUCAGAUGUGAGGCAAAGAACCAUGUCAGCAAUGAGACACUGUCAAUCAAAGUGGAUAACAUCUGCUCAGCACCAUCAAGAGCUUCCCAUCCAGUCUGCAACUAUCACUUGAAACAAUCUUUCCUUGCUAUCUUCAUUCUUCUUAGCGUUUCUACUGUGUUGUUUUAGAUCAGACCAAGAAUGAACCCACCACAGAGCGUCCCAACACCUGAUGCCUUUUUU